rnacentral:rRNA from 1 species
UACGGGGGGGGCAAGCGUUGUUCGGAAUUACUGGGCGUAAAGGGCGCGUAGGCGGUUCGCUAAGUUGGAUGUGAAAACUCUGGGCUCAACCCAGAGCCUGCAUCCAAAACUGCCGGGCUGGAGUCCGGAAGAGGCGAGUGGAAUUCCUGGUGUAGCGGCGAAAUGCGCAGAUAUCAGGAGGAACACCAAUGGCGAAGGCAGCUCGCUGGGACGGUACUGACGCUGAGACGCGAAAGCGUGGGGAGCGAACAGG